rnacentral:rRNA from 1 species
AGUGAACGCUGGCGGUAGGCCUAACACAUGCAAGUCGAACGGCAGCACAGUAAGAGCUUGCUCUUACGGGUGGCGAGUGGCGGACGGGUGAGGUAUACAUCGGAAUCUACUUUUUCGUGGGGGAUAACGUAGGGAAACUUACGCUAAUACCGCAUUCGACCUACGGGUGAAAGCAGGGGAUCUUCGGACCUUGCGCGAUCUAAUGAGCCGGUGUCGGAUUAGCUAGUUGGCGGGGUAAAGGCCCACCAAGGGGACGAUCCGUAGCUGGUCUGAGAGGAUGAAGCGGCACCGUGGAAGUGAGACACGGUACAGACACCUAGGGGAGGCCGCAGUGGGGAAUAUUGGACGAAGGGCGAAAGACUGAUCUAGCCAUACCGCGUGGGUGCAGAAGGCCUUCGGGUUGUAAAGCCCUUUUGUUGGGAAAGAAAAGCAGCAGGUUAAUAGCCGGCUGUUCUGACGGUACCCAAAGAAUAAGCACCGGCUAACUUCGUG